CACCUGACUGAAAUCGAAUGAGUCCUGGUCUGCAAGUGGGAGAGAGAAUGGCAGAAUAGUGAGUAAUAGCAGGAUUCGAUUAGCAAGACCCCAGGGGUCUGUCUGGAAGUUUCAGCUUUUCAUUACGGAUCAGAUUUUGUGAGAGCAAGCUAGCUCCAUCACGCUGAGCUCCGGCGCCCCCCCAGGGCUGCGUUCUCAACCCGUUGCUGUUCACACUGCUGAUGCGUGACGGCUCUGGUCGAUCCAGUUCAGACUGAAUCAUCAAGUGCGCUGAUGACACAACAGUGGGUUCUUUUAAAGAUCUUGACCUGGAGUUGCACGCUGACUACGGUUCUUUGUGGGAAUGGGACCAGCUCUCAUGGUUUCACAACUGGCUGUUGUUCGGUAUGCCAAGGGCUCGGCCUAAGAGAACCUUUGGAGAACCUCUCACUUUUGGAGAACCGAGUUUUCGUGGCUCUGGAGAUGGGGGGAGUGGGAUUGGAGGUCGGUGCCUCUGCAGGAGAUCGGUGUGUUGUUGGAGACGGCUGUGUGCCCAGAGACCCGAGAUCUUUGGGCACAGAGUUCAGAAAAAGCGACGCGACGGACUUUUAACAUCGUAAACCAACGAGUUAUUUGUUAUAUCUCCCCUCUCGCUCGGAAAUGGAGAGGGAGAGAGAUUCUAUUAGGGAGAGAGAGCCUGUGGUAUGUCGAAUUCUGGGUGAACAUGUAGUCUUUGGAGAUCUGCAAAUCCGUGACUUUGCUGUUGCCUUGCUCACGCUUGAGUGCUCAGUGGCGGGUACCGAUGCUUUUUUAUUGCCAGUGGGGGAGGGGGGAUUGUUGCUUGCUGCCACUUCCAUGCAGGAGGGAGGGGAGCUGGGGAGGACUUUGGGGUUCUAACAUUUAACUGACAGCCAUUCUUUGGGGGAACGCCUCUGUUGUCAGAUUUAGAUUCAGUUUAUUGUCAUUUAUAAACCACAAAUACAAUGCAGUUAAAAAAUGAGACAAUGUUCUCUGGAAUGAUAUCACAAAAAAACACAAAACAGACCACACAAGAAAAACCACAUUUCGUUUGGUAAUCCCCAGUCCAGAGUCCGGAAGGGCUGCUGUGUAUCGAUAUCGCGCUACCGUCUUAGCACGUUCCCCAGAAAGGAACUACAAACCCAUCAGACAAACCUAAAGCUACAAGGCCUACACAAAACCAUAUAGUUAUAUAUAGUUAUAGUUAACAUAUAGUUUCAACAGUGCAGACAAUACCAUAGUUGAUAAGAGACUAAGUGACAAAGACCACAUAAUUAUAACACAUAGUUUCAACAGUGCAAAGCAAUACCGUAAUCUGAUAAAGAGCAGUCCAUGCCACGGUUUAAAAGUGCAGAUGGAUGCGAAGAAAAAACGUUU